CGCUCGCCGCCGGCCCGCAGUUCCGGCGCGCCGUGCGGGCCGCCCUCUCGCCGCGCCCCAGGCUCGCCCCGGGCCCGGAUAACCACGUCCUGCUGGUGAAUAUGAAUGAAGAAGAAGACAACACUUAGCAUUUAUAGCCUUGGGCCAUGUAUGCUGUCAAAAGGAAAUUGGGAAUGUAUGCUAUCAAAAGGAAAUGUCUCUAGAGAAAGAAAUUUAUCUUUAAACCAGCCAUUAGAUAAGAUGAUCCAUAUAAAAGAAGUUGGCCAGUUAAGAACGUUUAACAAAUAAACAGUAAUUGGGUCUAGAGUGUUUUUCACUUAUGCACCAGUUAGGUUUCUUUUCUAAUCACUUCAUAUUCAGCUUCUUGAGAACAGGGAACCAUUCCCAAAGUAACUAUGAAAACUUUUUUCAGUAUAGUGGCUGUAGCAUAACUAUAGUAAUUUUACAUUCACAGGAGUACACAUACUUUGAACGAGAUAUUAAUAUCUGAAGAGCUCCAAGUUUUUUAUUCAUUUGGUUGUCGUUUUUUGUUUAAUUUUGAUUAUAUCAAAGUUUUUUAUAUUCAAGUAGAACCACCAUAUCAGUUUCCAUAAGGUUUUUCUGUAGAUGCACUUACUAUAAGCAACAUAAAAGUAUAAACGUUCUCAGUGAACUGUAUAGGAAAGACUAAAGUUGAAAAUGGUUGUAUAAAUAGUGCAAGAAAAGUGAUGUAGUCCAAUAUCAUAAGUUCAAUAGUAAACUUUAUGAACAAAGACAUUUACUUCCAAUGGAGUGCUCUUAAAUUGUUAAACUUACAUUAUAAUACUCCCCUGUUAGUGAGUUUUUUGUUAUUAAAACAUAUGGAUAUCUGUCUAAAGCUGUUUAACUCAAGGUGAGAUGUCUAUUUUAAUAAUUUUAUUUCUGAGGUUAAUACAUAUUAUGCAUUACUUUUUUCAUGUCUUUUGUGUUUUACAUGCAUUAUAACAAUAGUUCAAAUUUUUUGUAUAUAGAGUUUCCUCCAGUUACCUUCUGAAUAAAUCCUUCACAACAUUACUCUAAAACAGCAGGAGACUGUUUUAACUGCCCUUGUAUUGGUUUUAUGAAGUUCCUAUACAUGAAAUGUAAUAGUGUUAUCUGAAAGUAUUUAUAAAAUUUCUGUUAGGAAUCUUUAAACCUAGUAAAUUAAAUUAUUUCAGAACAUAUGUCAUAUAUUAUUUUGUUGUUUUUGUAGUUAAUGGUUGUAAUGGUUGGUUAAAUAUUUUUUCUGUUUGAUGUCGAGAAAUUUAGAAUACUCUUGUAGCAUUUGUAUACAGUUCUUUUCUUUUCUAUACAAGGUAGAUAUUAGUGCACUGAGAAUGAAGACUGUUGUUCCACUAUGUCAGGACACAAUAUUCUGCAAAUGAAUUUGAUUGACCAUAACUUGAAGAAAUAAAAAUUUACAGUACUUGCCACACCAAUGAUGUUAUGUCAGCAUGCUAAGUGCACAAUUAUGUGUCAACUGUUAUUAUCUGGAGUUCAUGGAGAAGGUGUAAAAUCAAGAAAUUAUGUGCAAUAGUUCAAAGAAAAAUAGAAUGUCAAUGGUCAUUACUACUAUUAUGGAGACCUAAUUAACUAACUAACUCCUUCCUAAGAUAUUUAUCAUAUCUGAUACAGUUCCUUUUAGUAACUACGUUAUCUUUUCGUAUUAAAUGAACUUUGAUAAGCUAUCCUCUACCAUCCAACCACACAAUGUUUAUAAAAUUGUACAACACUCUAUUUCUGCCUUAAUGUUUAUUUUUGAGGGUAAUAAUUUCCUUUGCUUUGUAUGUGUCAAUGUAAAAGCUCUUUAUUGUUUGUAUCUAUCAAAUAUUUUUCAAUAUAACUUUUUAAUUUAUUAGAUCACUUAGACAUGUAACAUCAAAAACACUUAUUCAGCAACCUUCCCAUUUGUAUGCUUUGUGCUGACUUAUGUCUCAAAAGAGUUAGCUCCUAAGUACAAUAAAUUAAAGAAAGAAUGGAAAGUAGAUUUUCUGUUUCAAGUAGUGGCCAGUGAAUAAUACCGUGUUCUUAUUUACAGAUGCUUUUGUGCUAUUUGUUAAUUUUUAUGGAAAUUCGAACUAAUAAAAGAAAGUAGAAAGUGGUACACCCCAA